AUUGAACGCUGGCGGCAGGCCUAACACAUGCAAGUCGAACGAGUGGCGGACGGGUGAGUAAUGUCUGGGAAACUGCCCGAUGGAGGGGGAUAACUACUGGAAACGGUAGCUAAUACCGCAUACCAUCGGAUGUGCCCAGAUGUGAUUAGCUUGUAGGUGAGGUACCAGCUCACCUAGGAGACGAUCCCUAGCUGGUCUGAGAGGAUGACCAGCAACGCUGGAACGGAGACACGGUCCAGACUCCGACGGGAGGUAGCAGUGGGGAAGAUUGCACAAUGGGCGCAAGCCUGAUGCAUCCAUGCCGGGGGUAUGAAGAAGGCCUUCGGGUUGUAAAGUAAUUUCAGCGGGGAGGCGUUACCCGCAGAAGAAGCCCCGGCUAACUCCGUGCCAGCAGCCGCGGUAAUAC
rnacentral:rRNA from 1 species